rnacentral:rRNA from 1 species
UACGGGGGGGGCAAGCGUUGUUCGGAAUUACUGGGCGUAAAGGGCGCGUAGGCGGCCUACUAAGUCGGACGUGAAAUCCCUCGGCUCAACCGAGGAACUGCGUCCGAUACUGGCGAGGCUUGAAUUCGGGAGAGGGAUGUGGAAUUCCAGGUGUAGCGGUGAAAUGCGUAGAUAUCUGGAGGAACACCGAUGGCGAAGGCAGCUCGCUGGGACGGUACUGACGCUGAGACGCGAAAGCGUGGGGAGCAAACAGG